rnacentral:tRNA from 1 species
GUAGCCGUGGCUUACUGGUCACGGUGUUCGCUUUGCAAGCGAAAAGUCCUGGGUUCGAUUCCCAUCGGAUCCC